rnacentral:rRNA from 1 species
ACACGACUACAUUAGAUACCCCGGUAGUCCCAGCCCUAAACGAUACUCGCUAGGUGUCGGCCACGGUGCGACCGUUGUCGGUGCCGUAGGGAAGCCGUGAAGCGAGCCACCUGGGAAGUACGGCCGCAAGGCUGAAACUUAAAGGAAUUGGCGGGGGAGCACAACAACGGGUGGAGCUUGCGGUUUAAUUGGAUUCAACGCCGGAAAUCUUACCGGGACCGACAGCAACAUGAAGGCCAAGCUGAAGACUUUGCCGGAUUAGCUG